GGUUGCGUGGCCCAAUGGCAAGGCGCUUGACUACGAUUCAGCGACUAAUUAGUCAUGAUUAGUCAGCAUUGAAAUCAAGAGAUUCUGGGUUCGAUCCCCAGCGCGAUCA